rnacentral:lncRNA from 1 species
UCACGACGACCAGCUACUUGGUGGUUGUCAACAACGGCGACCACCACCUCGGCCACUCUCCCACCCUUUGAUUCUCAUUCUCCAACUCUCUCAUCUCUUUGACAUAACAAUACCAAAUUGCGGAAAGAGAAGUUCGAUUUUUAUUGCAGUUCUUCCAAUCGACAACAAGGUACUUUGUUUCUCUAUAUUUCCUAAAUUGUUUUUGGAUUUUGUUCUCCAAUUAAUUCUUUGGUUGCCAAGUUUAGACACCCAGUUAUAAAUUUCCUUUAUAUUUCAAAAAUUAAUCAGCUACAAUAUAUUAUAUUCCCUGCAAAUUUUGCCUCUGUUGUGAAGGUCGCACAUUUUUUGCCAUAUGUAUGUAAAAUUUGCAAACUACAAACAAUGAAAUGUUCUUUCCUACUCUCCUUUCUCGCUGCCUAUUCUGCAUUUGUAAUUCCCUAUUUGUUUUGGUGAAAUGUGAAGUUAUUUUACGUGUAAUAAGUUGGUAGGUUUAUGUUUGAGCAACAUCUCUUUUAAGUGUUUGGAUUUUGUUAAGUUCUGGAUGUUAUUGUUCUGCAGUUUUUAGUACACAAUUUGAACAACAUGACCUUAUUAACUACUAUAACAAAGAUGAAGAAUUAUUGAAGUUAACUUAAUUCUGGGUUUGUGUUGGUCCAUUACAUAUUAAUAACAAACAUUUGACGUGCUCCUGACUAUAAACCUUGCAUAGGCUUGUGACUGUUAUUUGUUUCAGCAACUUAUUAAUCUUGUGUACAAGUCAAAAGCUUUCAUUUGAUGGACGAUGACUCCUUUGUCUGUUGUGUUUUCUUAAGCUUAUCUUAUUGAGGGCUUUCCAUAUAGGAUUUAACGGUAGUUUAUAUUGGAUGUUUUUUAAUGUCAAAUACUGUUUUUAGUUUUCAGAUUCUCUUCCUAUCUAUUUGUUUUCUUCCUCUCAAUUUUUGUUUCCAAAUUUUCAUUAAGUUAGAGUAAUGAAAUUGGUAUACAUGUUGGUCAAUACUUUUGCAUUCAGCAGUUUUGGGUUGCUUGAAAAAAAAAAAACUAUGCAUAUGAGACCCACUAUAACCCCAUCAUGUUCAUUCACUACCAUAACCAAAGCCAAACAGUUAUAGAAUUAUAAGAAAUUCUAUUUCAUAAUUUAAAAUUUAAACCACAGCUUAUGCUUAAUGUGGUUUUAUUUGGCUACUUGCUCUGAUGCACAAUCCACAAUCCAAGUACAAUCCACAAACCACAAACACCGUUUAGUUUAUUCUGAUGCACACUUACCUUUCUAUACACGUAUGAAAUUUUUAUACUUUCAUGAUUUUUAGGAUUGAAGGUGCUAAAGAUCGAGAUUAAUUAAGUACAAGACCAAAGCUUCAAGUAAGUAUGUUGUCUUAAUGAUUGCAAUUUACAAUGACAUAAUAUUACUGCUACCUCUAGCCAAAUUAUCAUUACAUAUGAAUAGUAAUGAAGAGUAUGAAGUAUUGUGCAUGUAUUGAAAGCAUGCUGGUUUUUCUGUUAGGUUAUUACAAUUUAUUAUCUAGCAUGCUGAUUUUUGUGUGAUUUUGCUAUUUUUUAGUAUGCUUGUUUUAGUAUCUAGUUGCUCUUGAGUUGGGAUGUGUAUUUUUUGAAUUGAGCUUCUUGACGUUUUUGGUUGUUAUAUUAUAUGUCUAUCUUAAUAAUUUUUCAUAUAUAUUUUAUUAGGGUAAUGCUAGGGAGUUCAAAUUAUUUAAACCCAAUUUGCAAACCAAAUGAUGUGGUUGUAGAUGAUUGGAUUAUUAACUAAGUGUCGAUUAACGUUCUUGUUUCUUAUUGGUGACACAUCAUUUGGUUUGCAAUUUGGUUUAAAAAUUUUGGUCUCCCUAGCAUUAUCCAUUUUAUUAUGGCAACAUAUUGAAAUAAGAGUGUGCAGCUCAGUACUAGGAGUCUAGGAUUGAAGUGAUCUGACUUCAUGGAUCGACAAUGGAUUCGUAGUCGGGAUCACCUUAGUUCCGAAUAUAGAGAAGGGGUCAAGUUAUUUAUUGACAUUGCUUGUCACCAUGUGAACUAGAAUAAUCAAAUACCAUGACCUUGUAGAGUUUGUCAUAACAUCUUUUUUUGGUAUGGAUGUGAAUUAUGAUGGAUGGAUAUAUCAUGGGGAACAUAUCCAUAAAAAACAUAGGUCACUGACUUUUGUAUUUUAUGAUGCUGAUAUCGUUACAUAUUAGAUUUAUAAGUGACGACAGAAGUAUCACGUAAAAGUAAAAUAUGUGGCAACUCUACCAUUUUGCCACUUAAACUAUCGCUGACGUUGUAUAGGUGAUGGUAAUUGUGACGUUGGAAUUUUGUCACAUAUAGUCAAAUGUGACGAAUUUUCAUAUUUAUGUGAUUAAUGUUGGUCGCUACAAGAGUCUUGUUUUCUUGUAGUGGGUGCUUUGCAAUGGUUUUGAAGGAUACAUAAUUGUUUUUUCUCUUCAAGUGAUGGUAUGUGUUUACCUUGUGUAUUUAAAGGUGUUGGGUCCAGCUUGUAAUGUUUAAGUAUUGUGAGCUUAUCUAACUUGUUGGGUAGGUGUGGAUCUUCCGUAGCUAAGGAAUCAUACUUGCGAGGAGUUUGUUUUGGGUUGUGUUAUUUUGUUUGUUUUGUUUAUGGUUUUGUGAUGCCUCAUAGAAAGACUUCUUUGUCGAAGGAGCAUCGUCUAUUGCAAGUUCAUAAAAAAGUGAAGCAAGGUUUUGUCCUUGUGAGCAUUAACUUUUUGUUUGGUUAGGUGUGGUUAUGUGACUAGGUUUUGUAUGGGUUUUUUUUGUUACGUUUGUAAUUAUAAAAUUAAUUUCUUAUCAAUGAUGUUCAUGGUUUUAUUUUAUUAAUAAAAUGUUUUUUAUCUUAAAAAAAAUGCAAAUCCAUACUUAAAGUUGUUCAAUAAUGUUUGUUUUGUUCUUUUAUUAUAUCUUGUAUUGGUUGUUGGAGAAGAGAAGUGAAAAAUGGCACAGACUAAGAGUUUGGAAGCGAAAGACGCACUGAUUGAAGCCUUUAUUGAGAGAAAGGCUAACUAUCAAUCACGAGAUUUCUGAUUUUGUUUGUUGUGGCUACUACCAUGAUCAGGAUAGGGUUUAUGUCCCCUUGACAAAUUGUACUUUUUAUUUUCUUUUUAUAAAUCUACCCCAUUGUCACUUUCCAUGAUAAUAAUGCUAAAGUGAGAUUGACUUUGUGAAUUUACAGGAAAAAAAAAACACACGAAGGAAAAAAAAAAGGCUAAAAAAAACUCAAAAAUUGUGUUUUUUGUUGUAGUAUGAAUUUAGUGAAUGAAGAAAGAGGGAGAUUUGCCAGAGGGAGAUAAGUGCUUGAGUACUUCGUGAGUCAUAUUCCUCAUGCCUUAUUCCUUUAUUUAUACUAAUAAAGAAGAUAGAAACUUGCUCAGUAAUACAAGUUGUACAAAGAAAAUCUUCUAAAUCUCAUAGGAUUUGUAUAGAUAAUCUACUAAGAUUUAUACAAUCAUAUUCCUAAUUAAAAUAGAAUUGCAACACUCCCUCAUGAGUGUGCAAGUACUCAAGUAGAUGACACAUCAAGUCUCCAACGAUAAUGUAGAGGUAGUUGAUGAAGUUAUUGGCACAAUGAAUGAAUGUGAGUCUAAACUAACAAACUGAAGAAUGCAUAGUAGUAUUCCACGAUAAUGUAAGUACUCAAGAUAUUG